rnacentral:rRNA from 1 species
UACGGAGGGUGCAAGCGUUAUCCGGAUUCACUGGGUUUAAAGGUGCGUAGGUGGGUUGGUAAGUCAGUGGUGAAAUCCCCGAGCUUAACUCGGGAACUGCCAUUGAUACUAUUAAUCUUGAAUACCGUGGAGGUCAGCGGAAUAUGUCAUGUAGCGGUGAAAUGCUUAGAUAUGACAUAGAACACCAAUUGCGAAGGCAGCUGGCUACACGAAUAUUGACACUGAGGCACGAAAGCGUGGGGAUCAAACAGG